CUCAUUGCCUAAUAGUGAAACUAGCCAGUCGGUAAGACAUCCUAAAGCGCAACAUCAGGCCAACAGACAGAAGAGUUAUCAGGCCAACAGAUAAUUGCAGAAUUGGUCCUAGUGGAGCUUUCUGAAGGGUCUCAAUCCUUUACACAGCUUCUCCGGGGGAUAGAUGAUUCUCAGAACCAAACUGCGUGCAACCCUUUAAGUAGCCAAUCUCCAUCACACUAUUGUCGACCGGACAGACCCAAAAGAAGGAUCACGGGUGCUUCAUGUAAUCUGAACGAGGACAUUGAUGAUAUUCUGCCUUUCUGUUCGAACGGGUUUACCCUAACUCCCCCCAGGAACCAAGCUACAUAUUUCCGACCCAAACAUGGCACAACAUCAGCGCAAGUGCAUUGCGCAGAAUCCCCCCGGCCCGAAAAGUUACUGCUUCAAGAAACGGCCCUACACGGAUAAGACUCCAACGAGACUGCAGAAUCUGCAAGGCCUGGUGAAAAAAGUCUAAAGCCCCCGGUUUCCGCGAUUCGUCAGAACAGCCCGCGUCAAAAAAGCCGAGACUCCUCCCCGGCGUAUAACGGCACAGAAGACCAUACACACCGAGAACACGCGGAGGAUUUCGGCACGCCAGACAUUCACAAUAAAACAACGAAACUGGAUGAUUUCAACGUUUUAAAUGACAUUCCUGAGGUAGACAACUGGAUAUUCUGUAACGCAACCAAUCUUCUUGAGUCCUUCAAUUCUUAUGUAGAAACACCCAAACCUGAAAUAGACCAAGCUCGGUUUAUCAAUGCCUUUUCAAAGGCUCUAAAAUCCAGAAAUGUCUUGCUACACAAACGAAUGGUUGAUUUACUCGAGCGGCAAUACGGUCAGGAUCUAUCCUUCUGGCGUAGAACAAUGCCCCGUUUGUUAAGCAACAAACCGUUUAAAAAACGCAAAUACCGGCGGUAAAAACAGUUACCGAAAUGGACGUGCCAAUAAUUGAGACAGUUGAAAGCCUUUUGCUGAAAAUACCCCCGAUCUACAAGCUUUAAUUGAACGGAUGAACGAGGGUGCGGUAUCAGACAUAAUUCCGAUAGACGAAAAUCUAUUUUCCCAAAUUCCCGCCGACCUAAUUGAAAUAAUUAAACAUAUGAACGAGUCAGGAACAACCUAUGAAAACCAAUUAUGGCAAAUCCCGCCCGCCCUAGUUUUUUUAAUAAACCAGAUGAACGAGAGCCUGAGAUCUUCUACACCGGAACCCGCACACACCCCGCCAUUAACUCCCAUGUCAGAAGAGUCUGUAACUCAAUAUUAUGUUUUUGAGGAAUUGGAAAAUUGUCUAAUAAAUCAGGAGGGAGAUGGUCUUGAUAGAAGUGUCAGGGUUGUGUACAGAAAUAAAUUCAGCAAUACAGAGAUUAGACAGUUUUUCAAUUUCACAUGGAUGAAUCAAAGUCUCGAUUAUGCGUUUUUUUACGUGAUGAUUUUGGAAACUCUGAACGAACUGUUACAAAGGGCAAGAGAUUAUGGCGAACCUCGUGAUGUCUUACAGUUGGAAAUUUGUGGAGAUAGCAUGCAAAACACUGUAUCUCUUAUUUUACCCAAUGGUGAAGCAGAUCUUGAACAAUUUAUAGCCCUGCUGGAACGACUUGUUCAAUCAAAUUUAUCCAUCACAGCCGAUAGGUCGCUAGAGUUAUAGUGCAAAUAAUACGGCAACCCCUGGGUGGUGGGGGUCAGAGAAGGCAACUUGAUAGCCUAAUGCAAUCAGAAAUCAUAAACAAUAAAAUGGCAUGCCUCAUAAACGUUCACAAUCCCGGUAAUAAGCUAUGCUUUGCAAUAGGCCUAGCACAUUUACUAAACCCUGGAUGUACGGAUCUAGAGGCGUUACAAAAGGCUAGAGAGCUUCAAAAUGCUGUUGGUCUGGGCAUGCAGGAUGCAGUGGCAUUCUCUGACAUAGUCAAAUUUUAAAACUUUCUGAACAUCAAGAUUGUGGUUUUGUACCACAGUAGAGCUAAUGCUUCUCUCUUGAAAUUCCAAAACAACCCCCAACCUCAUCCUCAGAUUCCGUACUUUUAUGUGCAAAACGACCAUUACUAUGCAGUUACCAACAUCGGAGCGUUUUUAGGCGCACCGUAUGUGUGUCCAGCCUGUCAUACCGGCUACACCCGAAAGGGGGGGCACUCGUGCCGUUAUAACUGUUCCGUAUGUCUGGAUGAAAAUUGUCCGAUGCAGCCCUUAAACCUGACACCCUGUGCCGAUUGUCACAGGACAUGCCGUUCGGCCUACUGUUACGAAAAACACAACAUUGAAACAUGGCACCCCAAGGCCUGUAAAUCUGUAAGCAGUUGUGAUAUUAACAGGACCCAAUUGUUCACUCAUCUUUCUAAAACACUUCAGAAAACCCCAAUACAGAAACUUCACGUUUAUAGCGCACAAUUCUAGAGCAUAUGAUUCGUACCUUCUUUUGAACCCUCUGAUACAGCAAGGCAUUGCACCCAGUGUCAUAGCUCAAGGUAGUAAAAUCUUGUGUUUUGUAGACCCCGCUUUCAACCAGAGAUACAUUGACAGUUUAAGCUUCUUACCCAUGAGAUUGGCUCAAAUGCCCGAGGCCUUGGGUUUUGAGAACUCUGUGAAAGGUUGGUUUCCCCAUUUUUUUUUUGUACAUCUGAGGAGAAUCUAAACUAUAUAGGAUCUAAUCCGAGACCCGAAAUAUAUGGUUGUGAUCAAAUGUCUCCCAAAGAGCGAGAGAGAUUCAUGACAUGGUACGAGACAGUAUGUCACAACACUUUUGAUUUCCACAAAGAGAUGGAGUCCUACUGUGACAACGACGUGGUUAUCCUUCGCGAGGGGUGCCUCAGAUUCAGAGCAGAGGUCAUCAAAGAUGCAGGCAUUGACCCCUGGAGUUGUACAACUAUUGCAUCGGCAUGCAUGAAAACCUAUCGUACACACUUUCUACCUCCAGCAUCUAUAGCUAUCCCCUCGCCUGACAACUACCGACGCCAAUUCAAGUCAUACCUCUAGUGGCUCCAUUCAGUGGUUGGAGUACUUGGCCCAGGAUAAAGACAUUUUUAUUCAACAUGCUUUGAAUAGGGGUGAGAAGGCGUUUGGGCCUUAUCAUGUAGAUGGAUACACACAGAUUGACGGUGUUGAGACCGUGUUUGAGUACAACGGUUGUUUCUUCCACGGUUGUAAAUGUUGCUUUGAGCCACAGGCCUUGUGUGUCCUAACCCAAAAGACUUUUGGUGAAAUGUACCUAGAGUUUCAAGACAAAUUGGAAUCUUUACAGGCUACUUAUGGUUUGAAAGUGAAUAUUAUGUGGGAGCAUGAGUGGACCACACUCAAAAAGUCUGAUCCUCAUGUUCGAGCUUUCCUUUGAAGCUUUGACACACCCGAACCAUUGGAGCCACGACAGGCCCUGUAUGGUGGCCGUACCAAUGCUUUGACCUUGCGGUAUGUAGCGCAACCAGACGAGACAAUAGGUUACGUAGAUUUUACAUCUCUUUAUCCUCAUGUAAUGAGUUCCUCAUGCUAUCCUAUGGGGCAUCCUGAAAUUAUUCACCUCGACUUUGACUUACCCCAAACUAUUUUGGUCUGAUCAAAGCAACUGUCUACCCACCUAGGGGUUUGUUUAUACCAGUGUUGCCUUACAAGGGACCUCAAGGAAAACUUUUCUUUCCCCUAUGUCGCACCUGCAGUGAAAACAACAACCAGGAAAAGCCGUGUGAUCACUCAGAUCAGGAAAGAGCCCUUACAGCUGUCUGGGUUACACCUGAAUUCACAAAGGCUCUAGAGAAGGGGUAUCGUGUGGCCAAAAUCUUUGAAGUGUGGAACUUUUCCAGGAAAUCAGACACUCUUUUUAAAGAGUACAUCAAGACCUUCUUGAGAUGCAAGCAAAUGGCUUCAGGCUAUCCUGCAUCGGUCACAGAUCAAGAGAGCAAAGAACAGUACAUUCGAGACUAUCAUGACAGAGAAGGCAUACUUCUUGACCCUGACCGAAUAGAGGUCAACAAGACUAAACGAAACGUGUCGAAAUUGUACUUAAACUUGCUUUGGGGGAAACUUUCGCAGAGAUGCAAUAUGCUAACAACAUCGAUCAUUAAAGACUCCGAAGAAUUUUUUGAGUUCGUUGUUUUGGACCAAUACGAAAUUUCAAAUUUUUCAUUCUUGAGUCAAGACAUUGCCCUGGUGCAAUGGAGACGUAACAAGAAGUGGGUUCUACCCCCGGGUAAUGUAAAUGUGUUUCUUGCAGCAUUUACCACGGCCUAUGGCCGACUUGAACUGUACACCCUCAUGGAGCAGCUUCAGAGGAGGGUUCUUUACCAUGACACAGACUCUGUGGUCUAUGUACGCAAACAGGAUGACUGGACCCCCCCCACUUAGCAACUAUCUGGGUGGUUUAACGAGUGAACUCAAAGAUGGCGACCAUAUCACAGAAUGGUCCUCCUGUGGGCCCAAAAGCUAUGCUUUUAGGACUAAAGACAAUCACGUGGUGUUGAAAGCCAAAGGCGUGACUCAAAACUACGAAAAUGCCCCGCCUGUAAACUUGGAAUCAAUCACACGCUUGGUCGAGGGGUUCAUAAACGAUCGGAAUAGUGACUUGGAGAUUUUGAGCUCCUACAAAAAAAAAUGUUGGGAUAAAAAGGGCUUCCAUCUCAGGAAUGCCCCACUUACUAAAAGAUUCAGGGUGUCUAUGACAAGAGACUGCUUUUACCUAACGGGACCACACUGCCCUUUGGCUACUGACUUAUGCUACAAGCCCCAGUGUGUCUUAAAGCUUAAGAUAUAAUGGCUGCUGUAGAAGGUUUUGACCCCAGGUUGCAACUACCAUUUUCGGCCUUAAUCGCAGGCCCCUCCAACAGUGGUAAAACUUGUUUUGUAAAAAGUAUUUUAGAGAAUUCUGAACAUGUGUUCAGAAGCCUGGCAAUAUUGUGUGGUGUUAUUCAUGUUAUCAACCUAUGUAUGAUGAAUUGUUGAAGAAAAUAAACAUCAAGUUUGUUGAAGGAA